GGGCCCGUAGUUUAGUAGAAAAACAUGGCUCUUAUGAAGCCAAGCCCAGCGUGCAAAUCGCUGCGGGCCUA